GAGUCGCGAUCAGGCUUUGUCCAUCACAAACCAUGCAGAGCGAUGUAAUUCCAUAACAGCGAAGUGUACUCCGAACAGGGAGGUAGGGCCUCUCACCGCUUGUUUUUUGUUCUUCCUUUCUCUCUCUCGCUCUCCAGCAAAAGUAGAAUGGUUUGGUUGCGGAGAGGCCAGCCAGCUGAAUCUCGUCGCCUUUAAACCAUCCAAAAUCUUUUUUUGCGAGGAAGAACAGCUCGAAAAAAAGAAAGAGAAAAGAACGAACAGUGGUGGGUAUGUUAGUCGUAGAGGCAUUUUGUCACUUCUCUGUGGAGUAGCCAUCGCAUGGAAGGGACCGCACAAGAAUUCCCUGUCAUUAAACUGGCAGCUAGUCUUGUGUUUCAAUGUUGGACGAGAGUUGGUGAUAGAAAAUCUUAUAAAGUGUUUUGUAUCUUGACUUCAUCAUAUUAAUGCUAGAGUGCUAGUAUAUUCUAGUAUCUUUUCACAUCCAA
rnacentral:lncRNA from 1 species